rnacentral:rRNA from 1 species
UACGUAGGGUGCAAGCGUUGUUCGGAAUUACUGGGCGUAAAGGGCGCGUAGGCGGGCUCGUAUGUCGAUUGUGAAAGCCCUGGGCUUAACCCGGGAAUGGCAGUCGAAACUGCGAGUCUUGAAUGCUUGAGAGGAUGGCGGAAUUCCCGGUGUAGAAGUGAAAUUCGUAGAUAUCGGGAAGAACACCUGAGGCGAAGGCGGCUAUCUGGCGAUGCAUUGACGCUGAGGCGCGAAAGCGUGGGGAGCAAACAGG